GGCUGGUCCGAGUGCAGUGGUGUUUACAACUAAUUGAUCACAACCAGUUACAGAUUUCUUUGUUCCUUCUCUACUCCCACUGCUUCACUUGACUAGCCUUAA
ensembl:misc_RNA Y_RNA Y RNA